UAACGAAUCUUCCGCAAUGCACGCAAGUGUGACGGAGCGACGCCGCGUGGAGGACGAAGUUCUUCGGAAUGUAAACUCCUGUCAGGGGCAGCCAAGUUCUGAGGCGCCCCAGAGGAAGGCACGGCUAACUCUGUGCCAGCAGCCGCGGUAAGACAGAGGUGCCAAGCGUUAGGCGGAAUCACUGGGCUUAAAGCGUGUGUAGGCGGGCGGGCAAGUACCUUGUGAAAUCCCACGGCUCAACCGUGGAACGGCUGGGUAUACUGCCUGUCUUGAGCCAGCUAGGGGCGACCGGAACAGACGGUGGAGCGGUGAAAUGCGUAGAUAUCGUCUGGAACGCCAAAGGUGAAAACAGGUCGCUGGGGCUGAGCUGACGCUGAGACACGAAAGCCAGGGGAGCGAACGGGAUUAGAUACCCCCGUAGUCC
rnacentral:rRNA from 1 species